AGAGACAUGGCGCACACACCAACACGUCAACAACAGGUAUAUAACACCUGAGAGACAUGGCACACACCAACAAGUCAACAACAGGUAUGUAACACCUGAGAGACAUGGCGCACACACCAACACGUCAACAACAGGUAUGUAACACCUGAGAGACAUGGCACACACCAAUAAGUCAACAGGUAUGUGGUAGAAUAAGAAGUUAUCACAAAAAUCUUUGAUGAAAUGAGUUCCAGGCAAAAGGAGAGGGGCUGUCUUUGAGGCCUACCAAGAGGAAGAAGGCUCGUAAAACUCCACUGUGACUUCAAAACGGACAGAUGUCAGGAUCAGCUCAACUUCCAGACGAACUGUUUUUGAAUAACCAAAGGCAAUGGUGUUUACGACCCACUUCCCUCUGGAGGCAGCUGUGGUCAAGUGGGUGGAGAGAGUCAGGAGGAGUGCAAUUUUUUGGCAGAGCGUGCUGGAGAUACUGUACAAGGAUACAGUGUGUCCAGGCGUGUCUCCUCAUGAGUCCAAAUUGAAUUAUGUCUGUCUAAUUAUUUGCCUCUUGUCUUGUUUAAUAGAUGUCAUCAGUGUUUGAACCUGACAUCUUCUUGGUCCUUUUGAGCCGGAUUCCAACACGUCUGACGAUUCCAGCAAGGGUGAGUGAAACCAGAAAGACCAUGGCAUCCAAAUCCUGAUUGAGGAACUGCUUUUUCUUAAUUCGGGCUGGAAUUGGAAGACUGACGGCAAACCGAGGACAAGAGGAAGGAACGCAGAGUUCAACGUCAUCAACGUUUGAACCUGAGAGACAUGGCACACACCAACAAGUCAACAACAGGUAUGUGUUAGAAUAAUUGUUUAAGUUAUCACAAAAAACUUUGUAAUGAAAUGAGUUCCAGGCAAAAGGACAGGGGCUGUCUUUGAGGCCUACCAAGAGGAAGAAGGCUCGUAAAACUCCACUGACUUCAAAGUGGACAGAUGUCAGGAUCUGCUCAACUUCCAGACGAACUCUUUUUGAAGUAUUUAACGAACCCUUUUUGAACUAUUUAAUGGAACUAUUUUUGAACUAUUCUACGAUUUCUUCUUUAGAAUUCUUCGGUAACCAAAGGCAACGCUGUUUACGACCCACUUCCCUCUGGAAGCACCUGUGGUCAGGUGGGUGGAGAAAGUCAAAUAAAGGAGUGCAAUCUUCUUGGUCCUUCGAGCCGGAUUCCAACACGUCUGACUAUUCCAGCAAGGGUGAGUAAAAUCAGAAGACCAUGGCACCCACAUCUCCCAUUGAGGAGCUGCUUUUCCUGCACCCGGGUUGGAAUUGGAAGACUGACGGAAAACCGAGGACAAGAGGAAGGAACGCAGAGUUCAGUGAGUACGUUUUGAAUUACAAAGAGUGUGUGACUGAGGGUUACGACGCAAAGACAAACCCUGUAAAUCCUAGGCUCUAACAGGUUAAAAGGCCAAAGAAUUAGGACGACUGAGUCCACAUUAACUGAAGUUCAGUAAGAUUCAAACAUUGAUAAUAAGCCAAAUUAAGGACGACGAAGUCCACAAAAUUGAAAAUUAAAACAAGUAGGCCAAUAAAGUGAAGGGCGGUGAAGUCCGCAAGAAAAAUGAAACAGCUGUAAAACAAGUGUGAGAGUGUGUGGGAGUAAUUGCCAUUAGGCUAUCACUCUGUAUUAAAGUUGUGAGAAGUAAAUAGUGGCUAACUGUGGAAGCUUUAUGCAAGACACCUCCACUGGGGAACGAUCUCCAGUAGAAGCGAUGUAUAUCACAAUAAUAAAUGAAACCACUAUCUUAUAACAAAGACAACAAUAAUCCUUAUAAGUUGGGCUCUAUAGGGGACGACAGAUUACUCCAAAUUUACAAAAUGGGAAAAGGGACUAAAAGUCCAAAAGACGAGUUAAAAUGUAAAAACUGGAAAGCAGUAGAAAAAACAAAUCCAGACUUAUGGAAAUUUCUCUGACUGGAUCUGAAAACAUGAAUUUACCGGUUGCCUCAGAGUAGGUGAUGUAUUAAAAAUUGCGGGAAUCAAUAAUACAAAAAUGCGGAAAUAACAAAAAGAAGCUAGCCAGAAUGGGGUGGGAUCACACGGGGUGCUGGAUGAGGAUGGCUCAAAAUAGAGAAGACGGAGAAAGACAGGAGAAAGGGCUAAGAGAUGAAAAGCUUAUGUUUCAUAGAGCUGAAGAUUAUGAGAUUGGGCUCAGAUAGGAGAAGAAAUAGGCAAAUUGUAAGGGGAGACAGUGAGGAUGAGUCAAGUGAGGAAGAAGUACAGACCGAAGCCGACACACACAGCGUUCCAAUAACUACAAAAUGUAGAUCAGCGUUAAAUUACAAAAUCACACUCAUUGUAUGGCGGUGAUUGGAACAACCAACAAUAAGGUCAAAAAGGGACCCAAAGAAACGCAGAUAAUUGAAAUAAAUGGCAAAGAAAUCAAAUUUCUGUGUGACACCAGAGCAUGUGGAAUUACAUGUAGAGAAUAAAAUGACAAAUAGAUGGUAACAUUGAGAUUGUGGGCGGAGAGAGAAAAAGCAAGUAGAAGUUUAGGAAGGAAUGUGAAGAGAAUGGAUUGGGGAAAGAUGGAAAAAGGGAUUUGUAUAACCUUACGUGAAUGGUUUCCAGAAGAGGAGAAUAGACAUAAACCUUGUGUUGCAGUAUAAGGAAGAGAUGGAUAGGAGAUGUGUUUUAAAGGAAAAAGCAAGUUGGAGAAAAGAUGAGAUCACUGCAAACGUGUUUGUUUGUGUGUGUGUAUAUUUCCAGGUACAAAUAGGAUAAAAACCCUGGGGGUUCAAAUAAAUAAAAAAAAAAAAGGAGAAAAUUUCAAAGUACUAAAGUGAGAGGAAAGUAAAAAUAGAUGAAGAAAUGGGGAGAAAUCAAUGCAAAAUGGAAUAAACUAAUGCGUACGACAGAUAAUGUGGGGGUAUUGAAAUAAGAUAUGAAGAAAAUGUAGACUGAAGAGAUAUAUAUAUAUAAACGGAACAAAUAAAAACCUAGAUUAACUAUAAGAGUUGAUAUGUAUAGUUUGAUAAAGUGGGUUACAUGUUUUUUAGCUGAGGAAAGAGAAAAAAGAAAAGCUCUUCAAGUGUUGCUGACCUUUUGCCCUUAGGAGUGCACUCACACACCACUGUGUGUGUACACAAGGAUACAGUGUGUUCAGGCGUGUCUCAUCAGUCCAAAUGGUAUUCUGUCGGUUUAAUUCUUUGCCUCUUGUCUAGUUUAAUAGAUGUCAUCAGUGUUUGAACCUGACAUCUUCUUGGUCCUUUGAGCCGGAUUCCAACACGUCUGACGAUUCCAGCAAGGGUGAGUAAAAUCAGAAGACCAUGGCAUCCACAUCUCCCAUUUGAGGAGCUGCUUUUCCUGCACCUGGGUUGGAAUUGAAGACUGAAGGAAAACCGAGGACAAGAGGAAGGAACACAGAGUUAAGUGAGUACGUUUUGAAUUACAAAGAGUGUGUGACUGAGGGUUACGACGCAUAGACAAACCCUGUAAAUUCUAGGCUCUAACCGGUAAAAACGCCAAUAAGACGUGUGUGUGUCGGGGAAUUUGACAUUGAAAAUAAACCAAAUUAAGUAAAAAUAGAAGAGGCCAAUAUACUGAAGUUAAACUGAGUCCGUGAAAACUGAAAUAUCUGUAAUAUUCAUAAACAAACAUACUGGCGGAGCACACAAUAAAUUGAAAUAUCCGUAAACCAAUAUCUUGAGGGGCGUCGGAGUCCAAAACGCAGAACUAAAAUGGUCUAUUCAGAAAUUUUUCAGUAAAAUAAAAAAUAACCUGAAGGGUGACGGAGCCCACAUGAAACAUUGAAAUAUCCGUGGAUCAAUAUACUGAAAGGUGUGAUUGUGGGAGUAAUUGCCAUUAGGCAAUCACUUUAUGUUAAAGUAGUGAGAAGUAAAUAGUGGGUUACUGUGGAAGCUUUAUGCAAGACAGCUCCACUGGGGAAUUAUCUCCAGUAGAAGCGACGUGUACCACAAUAAUAAAUUAAACCACUAUCUUACAACAAAGACAACAAUAAUCCUUAUAAGUUUGGCUCUGUAGGGGAUGAAGGGUUACUCCAAAUUCUCAAAAUGGAAACAGGGACCCAAAGAAAUGCAGAUAAUUGAAAUAAAUGGCAAAGAAAUCUAAUUUCUGUAUGACAUUGGAGCAUGUACAAUUACAUGUAGAGAAUAAAAGGAAAAAUAGAUGGUAAAAUUGAGACUGAGUGGAGAGAGACAGGAGAAAAAAGCAAGUAGGAGUACAAAUUGUGUAAAAACAUCGGAGGUUCAAAUAUAAAUAGGUUUAAAAAAAAUUAAAUAGGAGAAUAUCUCAGUGCUAAAGUGAGAAGAAAGUAAAAAUAGAUGAAGAAAUGGGGAGAAAUCAAUGCAAAAUGGAAUAAAGUAAUGUGUAUGACAGAGAUAAUGUGGGGGUAUUGAAAUAAUAUAUGAAGAAAAUGUAGACUGAAGAUAUACAUGUAUGUUUGUGUAUAUAAAUAGCACUUUUAUAUACACAAAUGUGUGUGUAUAUAUGUUUGUAUAUAUUGUGGAACAAAUAAAAACCCAGAUUAAUACCGGUAACUAUAAUAAGAGUUGAUAUGUAUAGCAUGAUAAAGUGGGUUACAUGUUUAGUAGCUAAGGAAAGAAGAGAAAAAAACCCCCA